UACGUAGGCAGCAAGCGUUGUUCGGAAUUACUGGGCGUAAAGAGUGUGUAGGCGGUUUUCUAAGUUUGGUGUGAAAUCUCCCGGCUUAACUGGGAGGGUGCGCCGAAAACUGGAAGGCUUGAGUGCCGGAGAGGAUAGCGGAAUUCCCGGUGUAGCGGUGAAAUGCGUAGAUAUCGGGAGGAACAUCCAUGGCGAAGGCAGCUACCUGGACCAACACUGACACUGAGGCACGAAAGCGUGGGGAGCGAACAGG
rnacentral:rRNA from 1 species